rnacentral:lncRNA from 1 species
UAUUAUUAUUUACAAUUAGGACAUCACACUAUAUACGCAUAAUUACCACCAGCACUACAACAACAUCUUUUUUUCCCUACAAUAACUAAGCCUCCACUAUCAUUAUCUUUUACACCUUUCUAACAUUUCUUUACGUUAGUGGCUAGCACACUUAAGUGCACCACCAAAUCCCCUUUUCUUAAUUUAUCUAUCAACCUUUAAACCACCACCUCCAAAGGCUUUAUCAUUCAGCCAACAUACUAAUCAUUCAUUCUUCAAGAAUUCAGAGUAAGUACGUUGAUUCCUGCUGCCAAACUUCGAACAGGUAAGCUUUGGUUUAAGUUUUUUUCCACCAGUCCAUUCUUGAUUCCCCUGCAUAUGUCAAUAAGCAUCUGAAAAUUUCAGUAUCUCCUCAUUAAAUUCAAUAGCAACAAACAGCCACCAACAACAAGCAAUUACAGGUAUAUACUAAGCUCCCUUCAUUCGAAUCCCAUUUACUCAUCCAAAGCAUGAUUAGUAAAAAUUGAAUGUAUAGAUGAGUAUAGGUUAUGGACUUAGCAAAGUCACAAGCACAGAAAUCAGUUCAUAUGUAAUUACAUUUCUUCACGUCGAGCCACAAGCAAUGAGAAUUCAUAUGAUACAGAAGCAAUCAAUACCUAGAUUAAUUUCUUGCCUUCACAAUAGACUAUUCAACGGGGAAUGAAAACUAGAAUAAAGACCUUAUCCUUGCCUAAUUCACGUUAAGAACCGACUAUGGAGAAUAGUUUGACUUAGCUUUUAAGAGAGGGGAUGGCUGACUGCCUCGAUCGGUUUGAGACAGCUACGACAGGGGCGAACUCGCCCAAUCUCAUCAAGACCCGAGGACGGCAGCCACGGCGAUACCGAACUGGAGGGGGGGCGAACCGACCGGUACCAGGGCCGGAGCAGCGGCCGCUCGACAGUAGCAAAUUCCUCUUUUCUGGAAACCAAGGCUAGAGGUCGGAGGGGGGAAGUAUAGAGAAGGGAAAUGAGAUCGAACCGCUCCCAGACGGCGACCGCUUGCUGGAUUCCGGGCAAGGGAGUAGCAGCGACAGCGGCGAUGAUUUCUUGAGUUAGGGCUCGACUGGGUCUGCCUGAGGAGAGAGAGAGAUGACGACGCCGGGGUUGGACACGUCGCCGAUCGAAGCUGACCGGAGCAGUGAUGGCUGGACGGCCGGAAAAGAUGGAACCGACUGGAAUUUUGGGAGGGCCGACCAAGCGGCUGACCUUGAGAAAGAAUAGAGAGAAAAAGGCGUGAAUUGCUUUAAGAGGGAGCUAGAGGGAGGAGAACGCCGGGCUUAGGCGCGGAGGCAGUCGACGCCGGCCGGAGUCGCGGCGGCGGACGCCUCGUGUGAAGGCGAGUCGAGAGUGAGAGGGAGAAGAGGCGUGCGGCUGGCUUGAGGGAGAGAGAGAGAGUGUCGGUCCUUGGCUUGAGAAGAGAGAGAGAGAGUCCGAUACUUGUGAGAGAAAGAGAGAGAGCUGGGCUUUACAAAAUUUAUUUAGUUUGGGCUUAGUUAAUUUGUUUUUAAGUAGUUUGGGUCUUUCCUAUUUUAUUUAGAUUGGGCUUCCAAUUUAAUCAUUUGGGCCAAGAAUUAUUUAAUUACUAAGCCCAAUGAAUUAUUUCAAUUGGACCUUUCAUUUUAGCUAUCCAGGCCCAUUUCUGCUUAAUUAAUUAUUGGGCUACCUUAUGUUGAGCAUUUUAAUUAUUCGAACUCAUAACAUUUCAAAUUCUCAUUAUUAAGCCCGGUUAAUUAUGAGUUUUUAAAGCGAAUAAGCUGAAGUAUUUAAUUAUUUUCUAUCGACUACGAGAAGCGGGAUUUAUUUAAUCGACGGAUUAGAACACCCUGAAGAGAAUAGAUUAAUUUUAAUUAAUUAUCCGGUUUCAUGAGACGAGACUUACUUUGUUUAAAUCCGAUAGCCUGGAUUAACAAUAGAAAUUCCCUGAUUAUUAUUUCAGAAUAAUAAUUCAUGCAUAAGGAUCAUGCAUAGUUAAAUAUACAUUCUCAUUUGAGGAUUUUUAUUCGAGCAAAUAUCUUAUAUAUGUACAUAUAUUCUCGUAAUAAAGGUCAAGGGCGAGAUUGAUAAUCUGUUGAGGAGCUUUCGUAUCACAGAAAAUCACUAUCAGGUGGGUUACUUUCAUAUAUAUCAAAUGAGUUUAAUGUUAUGUUUGAACAGUUAUUUCAUUGCUAAAUUAAUUGAAAUUAUUUCAACUAUUGUCUUGCCAUAAAUGUUUCAAUUUUGGUAUGAUAUCUAUCUGAUGUGGCUUUGCCAGUUAUUAUGAAAUCGAAUUCGGGUCCUGAGCAGUUGAUAGCUAUCCUGCCAGGGCUAGUGUACACCAGUGACCGUGAGUCAUCUAGCGGGUUGGCCGGUCAAGUGUCCGUGAGAGGUGGCCACCUCUCCGGCACACAGUUCCAGAUAUGAUAGAUUACAAGAGAACUUAGUCUGCAGACGAACUUUAAGAAUCACAAAUGAAUUUAGUAAGCUUGGGCCUUUUUAGCGAAAAACUCCCUUGCUGUACUGUUUAUGAUGGCAUGACAAUUUACAACUUUAUGAAGCAUGUUAUAUUUCAUAGUAGGCAUAUGUGCCCACUGAGUACUUUUGUACUCAGCCCUGCAUAUAUUUCUAAAUGUGCAGGUUGAGCAGCUGCCGAUGGUGAUGAAGUGACGAGCGGGACUCUUUGUCUUAUUAUGUAUUAAUGAACUCUAGGGUUACAUGUCUUCAUACAUGUAAUCAGAACCUUAUUCCGCUGCGUACUCAGAAGUUUUAUGUUAUUUUGGAUAAGUCGGAGUUAUCCGAACUUACUAGUUAUUUGAGUCUAUACGACUAAAACUCCGUUAUAUUAUAAAUAUCCCUGUUGUUAACAAUGAUACUGCGAUCCUUUCUUGUUUGAUUAUUCCCCUUUCUACCCCGCUUCUAAUCUCCCUCCAUUAGUCACGGUUUCCCCGGCUUAAUUAUCCUUAAUUAUGUCCGGUCGUGACAG